AGCGAACGCUGGCGGCAGGCCUAACACAUGCAAGUCGAACGAUCCUUCGGGAUAGUGGCGGACGGGUGAGUAACACGUGGGAACGUGCCCUUUGGUUCGGAACAACUCAGGGAAACUUGAGCUAAUAACGAAUGUGCCCUUCGGGGGAAAGAUUUAUCGCCAUUGGAGCGGCCCGCGUCUGUUUAGCUAGUUGGUGAGGUAAUGGCUCACCAAGGCGACGAUCAGUAGCUGGUCUGAGAGGAUGAUCAGCCACACUGGGACUGAGACACGGCCCAGACUCCUACGGGAGGCAGCAGUGGGGAAUCUUGCGCAAUGGGCGAAAGCCUGACGCAGCCAUGCCGCGUGAAUGAUGAAGGUCUUAGGGUUGUAAAAUUCUUUCACCGGGGACGAUAAUGACGGUACCCGGAGAAGAAGCUCCGGCUAACUUCGUGCCAGCCGCCGCAGUAAUAC
rnacentral:rRNA from 1 species